AUGGAGGAGAAGGGUUCUGGGUCUGCGCAGAAGAAAGAGGCGAGCACGACCAACCUUCCGGCGGAGGAGGCAGUGCUGGCGGCGGCCAGCCUCCUCACGGAAGACCUCAUCUUUGAGAUCCUCUCCCGCCUCCCCGCCAGAUCCCUCCACCGCUUCAAGUGCGUCUGCCCAUCCUGGCGCGACCUCAUCGCCGACCCCGCCAACCGCAAGAAACUGGCCCAAACCCUCGCCGGCUUCGUCUACAGCACCUACGUCAGGGUUGACCCCCGCUUCCAGCGCUUCCACUUCGCCAACGUCUCCGUCGGCGCAGCCCCGCCGGCCGACCUGUCCCUCCCUUUCUUGCCACCCGACAAGUACUGGUACAUCGCCCAGCUGGACACCUGCAAUGGCCUCCUGCCCUGCCUUGGCUACAUGGCCCCUUCUCCUUCCACAGACAUGGAUUCGCCAGCUGAAACCCGUUUCAUCGUGUGCAAUCCAGCCACCGAGAGGUGGAUCGACCUGCCCCCUAUCCCAGAGGUGCAAAGCGACCAUCGCAUCUUCGCUCGUUUGGCUUUUGAUCCAGCAGCGUCGUCCCAUUUCCAUGUUCUUCAGUUUGAGGAGACAGUUCUGGAGAAACGCGUCACGGGAGUGAACAUCUACUCUUCGCAAACUGGAACUUGGAAGCGUAGACAAAGCAGGUUGGUUGAGAAAAUUAUCCUGUGCACUGGCCUUACAAGUGUCUUCUUUCACGGUAUGCUGCACUUGCUUGGUGUGCUGAAACCCAUGAAGAAAGACGAGGAUGUGGUGCUGGUAGCAGUGGACAUGGAGGGGCAGGUGUGGAAGACUAUCCCUGUGCCAUCAGGUGGUUUGAGUUUUAGAAUUGGAUUGUCACAGGGGUGCUUGCACUAUGCUACCACGCCCCUAGCUACUGUCGACAAGAACCAGAAGAAGGAAAGUAAGGAGAGUACCACACUGAUAGCAUCACUCUGGUGCAUGGAGGAUUAUGAUAGUAAACAAUGGAUCCUGAAGCAUAGCGCAGCAAUGUUGAGUUGCAGAGCGUAA
rnacentral:rRNA from 1 species